AGAGUUUGAUCAUGGCUCAGGACGAACGCUGGCGGCGUGCUUAAUACAUGCAAGUCGAGCGAGGUUAUCUUUUCAAAGUCCUUUCGGGACGGCGAAUUUUUAACCUAGCGGCGGACGGGUGAGUAACGCGUGGGUAACCUGCCCUAAAGCCCGGGAUAACAGUGGGAAACUGCUGCUAAUACCGGAUAGCUUUAUCUGGAGGCAUCUUCGGAUAAGGAAAAAUUUAUUGCUUUAGGAUGGGCCCGCGUCCCAUUAGCUAGUUGGUGAGGUAACGGCCCACCAAGGCGACGAUGGGUAGCCGGCCUGAGAGGGUGAACGGCCACACUGGGACUGAGACACGGCCCAGACUCCUACGGGAGGCAGCAGUAGGGAAUAUUGCGCAAUGGAGGGAACUCUGACGCAGCGACGCCGCGUGAGCGAUGAAGGUUUUCGGAUCGUAAAGCUCUGUCCUUGGGGAAGAAGGCGGCCAUUUACGGCCACUUGACGGUACCCAAGGAGGAAGCCCCGGCUAGCUACGUGCCAGCAGCCGCGGUAAUACGUAGGGGGCAAGCGUUGUCCGGAAUUAUUGGGCGUAAAGGGUGCGUAGGCGGCCUUUUAAGUCAGAUGUGAAAGACCACGGCUUAACCGUGGGGUUGCAUUUGAAACUGGAGGGCUUGAGUAUCGGAGAGGGUAGUGGAAUUCCCAGUGUAGCGGUGGAAUGCGUAGAUAUUGGGAGGAACACCAGUGGCGAAGGCGACUACCUGGACGAAAACUGACGCUGAGGCACGAAAGCUAGGGGAGCAAACAGGAUUAGAUACCCUGGUAGUCCUAGCCGUAAACGAUGGGUACUAGGUGUAGGAGGUUUCGAUACCUUCUGUGCCGCAGUUAACGCAAUAAGUACCCCGCCUGGGGAGUACGUGCGCAAGCAUGAAACUCAAAGGAAUUGACGG
rnacentral:rRNA from 1 species